rnacentral:pre_miRNA from 1 species
AAAUUAAUCACAUGAAGAUUUUGUUAAAUGCAGAUUUUAAAUAAGUAGAUCAAGAGUGGGCCUGACAUUCUGCAUUCCUGUUGAGGUCCCAGGUGAUGCUUAU